rnacentral:rRNA from 1 species
GAUGAACGCUGGCGGUGUGCCUAACACAUGCAAGUCGAGCGAACAGACGAGGAGCUUGUUCCUUUGACGUUAGCGGCGGACGGGCGAGUAACACGUGGAUCACCUACUUAUUUUUCUGGGAUAAUUUCGGGAAACAGGAGCUACUACUGGCUCAUAUAACCAACCGCAUGGUUCAAUAGUUCAUGACGGCUUUCCUGUUACUUAUAGCUGGAUCCGCGCUGCAUUAGUUAGUUGGUAAGGUAACGGCCUACCAAGGCAACGAUGCGUAGCCGAGCUGAGAGGGUGAUCGGCCACACUGGAACUGAGACACGGUCCAGACUCCUACGGGAGGCAGCAGUGGGGAAUAUUGGACAAUGGGCGAAAGCUUGACGGAGCAACGCCGCGUGAGUGAUGAAGGUCUUCGGGUCGUAAAGCUCUGUUAUUGGGGAAGAAAAGAUGUGUGAGUAAAUAUGCACGUCUUGACGGUACCCAAAGAAAAAGCAACGGCUAACUUCGUG